rnacentral:rRNA from 6 species
UAUACCGUGAAACUGCGAAUGGCUCAUUAAAUCAGUUAUCGUUUAUUUGAUAAUACCUUACUACUUGGAUAACCGUGGUAAUUCUAGAGCUAAUACAUGCUGAAAAUCCCAACUUCGGAAGGGAUGUGUUUAUUAGAUAAAAAACCAAUGCCCUUCGGGGCUUUUUGGUGAUUCAUGAUAACUUUACGGAUCGCAUAGCCUUGCGCUGGCGACGGUUCAUUCAAAUUUCUGCCCUAUCAACUUUCGAUGGUAAGGUAUUGGCUUACCAUGGUUUCAACGGGUAACGGGGAAUUAGGGUUCGAUUCCGGAGAGGGAGCCUGAGAAACGGCUACCACAUCCAAGGAAGGCAGCAGGCGCGCAAAUUACCCAAUCCCGACACGGGGAGGUAGUGACAAUAAAUACUGAUACAGGGCUCUUUUGGGUCUUGUAAUUGGAAUGAGUACAAUUUAAACCUCUUAACGAGGAACAAUUGGAGGGCAAGUCUGGUGCCAGCAGCCGCGGUAAUUCCAGCUCCAAUAGCGUAUAUUAAAGUUGUUGCAGUUAAAAAGCUCGUAGUUGAAACUUGGGCCUGGCUGGCGGGUCCGCCUCACCGCGUGCACUCGUCCGGCCGGGCCUUCCUUCUGAAGAACCUCAUGCCCUUCACUGGGCGUGCUGGGGAAUCAGGACUUUUACUUUGAAAAAAUUAGAGUGUUCAAAGCAGGCCUUUGCUCGAAUACGUUAGCAUGGAAUAAUAAAAUAGGGCGUGCGUUUCUAUUUUGUUGGUUUCUAGAGACGCCGCAAUGAUUAACAGGAACAGUCGGGGGCAUCAGUAUUCAGUUGUCAGAGGUGAAAUUCUUGGAUUUACUGAAGACUAACUACUGCGAAAGCAUUUGCCAAGGAUGUUUUCAUUAAUCAGUGAACGAAAGUUAGGGGAUCGAAGACGAUCAGAUACCGUCGUAGUCUUAACCGUAAACUAUGCCGACUAGGGAUCGGGCGAUGUUCUUUUUCUGACUCGCUCGGCACCUUACGAGAAAUCAAAGU